CUUUGACAUUUCACAGGUCUAGGACAGCUCUGGGCUUGACCUCUCUUCCUGACCAUGUGUGAUAUGAAGCUGAGCAGACUUCUGUGUCAGUCAACAGUUCUUGUGGUGUUGCAGUAGGUGAUGAUGAUUGUGGCGGUACACCGCUCCUUCUGCGGUGCGGACGUGAUAUGAACGUUCAGUGUCAGCUGGCUGGAUGACGACUGCUGGAGGCUAUGCCCCUGGAUUCUAACUGACUCUCCGUCCGUCGUUCAGUUGUAGCCUUGUAGCUGACGACCUCAGGUUGAAGCUGCUGGUUGGUGCUGGGAAGGAUUGAGCAAAGUCUGCGGCUCAUCAACAGCUGGGCAGGUGAUUUGACGUUGUCAACUGGAGUGCUGCGGUAUUCAAGGAGACUGAGUUGAAAAGAGAACACACAGAAGGCGGUUGUAUAAAACCCCUGUUUCUGGAUUACAUCUUCAAACUAAAGGCAACCAUGGCAUCCGUGACAGAGAGGAAGCAUCCAUCAAUGUAUACAAACGAACGCCGUUACAGAAUCACCCACCACACCCGGACCGAGCGGCGUGGUAACAGGCAGCGACAGCAGUAGCAGCGAAAGGAGGAAUGGACAUGGGAAGACGUGUUGGAUGGCAAAGGUUGUUACACUUGGGAGGAGAUACUGG
ensembl:lncRNA